AGCGGCGGACGGGUGAGUAAUGUCUGGGAAACUGCCUGAUGGAGGGGGAUAACUACUGGAAACGGUAGCUAAUACCGCAUAACGUCGCAAGACCAAAGUGGGGGACCUUCGGGCCUCAUGCCAUCAGAUGUGCCCAGAUGGGAUUAGCUAGUAGGUGAGGUAAUGGCUCACCUAGGCGACGAUCCCUAGCUGGUCUGAGAGGAUGACCAGCCACACUGGAACUGAGACACGGUCCAGACUCCUACGGGAGGCAGCAGUGGGGAAUAUUGCACAAUGGGCGCAAGCCUGAUGCAGCCAUGCCGCGUGUAUGAAGAAGGCCUUCGGGUUGUAAAGUACUUUCAGCGAGGAGGAAGGCGUUAAGGUUAAUAACCUUGGCGAUUGACGUUACUCGCAGAAGAAGCACCGGCUAACUCCGUGCCAGCAGCCGCGGUAAUACGGAGGGUGCAAGCGUUAAUCGGAAUUACUGGGCGUAAAGCGCACGCAGGCGGUCUGUCAAGUCGGAUGUGAAAUCCCCGGGCUCAACCUGGGAACUGCAUCCGAAACUGGCAGGCUAGAGUCUUGUAGAGGGGGGUAGAAUUCCAGGUGUAGCGGUGAAAUGCGUAGAGAUCUGGAGGAAUACCGGUGGCGAAGGCGGCCCCCUGGACAAAGACUGACGCUCAGGUGCGAAAGCGUGGGGGAGCAAACAGGAUUAGAUACCCUGGUAGUCCACGCUGUAAACGAUGUCGACUUGGAGGUUGUUCCCUUGAGGAGUGGCUUCCGGAGCUAACGCGUUAAGUCGACCGCCUGGGGAGUACGGCCGCAAGGGUUAAAACUCAAAUGAAUUGACGGGGGCCCGCACAAGCGGUGGAGCAUGUGGUUUAAUUCGAUGCA
rnacentral:rRNA from 1 species